CAUGAAUUCAGAUGAUUUGACCUGGAAUAGUUGUUUUUUAAGUUGACCCUCCACCCUUAUAUAGCCGAAUAAGGGCUAAAUUGCUUUCCAACUUAAAUUCAAAGGCAUAUUGGUUGACCGUGAAGCAUUAAUGUGCUACAUGAAGUCAGAAUUCAACGCCUGGGUCUCCGUGAUCCAGUAACGCAACAAUAGCUUGUGCGUAAAGCAUUAACAUUCAAACAGAGCCCCAUUUCGUAGACAUGGAAUGGCGGACAUUUUUACAGUUUGGACAGUGCAGCAGAUGCUUAGCUGAGCCAGCCUUCAUAUUUAGUACAAUCAUGAAUAUAACAAGCUUUAUCACUUCAUAUUAUUCAUUGAAAUACACUUAAAAUACAUAAAUGCAUGUGUUUUUUUCAUUUUAUAUCUAUUUCAAUUGGGUAUUUUGACUUUUUCAGGUAGAGAAAUGUCUGCGACUAAGCCGAGGGCCACUGCAUAAGAGUAAUUGAUUGCAAAACAGGGUGGAGACUACAUGAGAUUUUGACAGAUGGCGGGAAACCCUCAUCAACUGGAGAUCAGCCGGUAGAGAAAUGUCUGCGACUAAGCCGAGGGCCACUGCAUAAGAGUAAUUGAUUGCAAAACAGGGUGGAGACUACAUGAGAUUUUGACAGAUGGCGGGAAACCCUCAUCAACUGGAGAUCAGCCGGUAGAGAAAUGUCUGCGACUAAGCCGAGGGCCACUGCAUAAGAGUAAUUGAUUGCAAAACAGGGUGGAGACUACAUGAGAUUUUGACAGAUGGCGGGAAACCCUCAUCAACUGGAGAUCAGCCGGUAAAAAGGUGGCCUUAAAACAGUGACCGUUGAUUCGCGUCGAG